rnacentral:rRNA from 1 species
UACGAAGGGGGCUAGCGUUGCUCGGAAUCACUGGGCGUAAAGGGUGCGUAGGCGGGUCUUUAAGUCAGGGGUGAAAUCCUGGAGCUCAACUCCAGAACUGCCUUUGAUACUGGCGAUCUUGAGUAUGGGAGAGGUGUGUGGAACUCCGAGUGUAGAGGUGAAAUUCGUAGAUAUUCGGAAGAACACCAGUGGCGAAGGCGACACACUGGCCCAUUACUGACGCUGAGGCUCGAAAGCGUGGGGAGCAAACAGG